AUUUUUGUUGGGUUUUCAUUGCUUUUGCCACACUUUCAGCGAGACGGAGAAUACUCCUGGCUUGGAAAUCGUCUACA